AUCCACACGCGCGCACAUCACCAGUAGCACGGGGGAGACCGGGUCGGAGACGGGAGAGAGCGCCAUGGAAUGCUCCCCCCGGUCUCCUUGCUCGCCAAGCGCUGCCACAACUGAUUUCAGCUCACGCUCCGCCACUGAUGGAAGGUACAGAUCUGAAAAUAGUGCUGGACAUGCUGCUCCAAGAGCGCAUGGAGAAGAGGUUCCGGCUGCUGCGCGCCGGCACCCUGCUUUCGGAGCUGCGUUCCGCGGUCUCGUUCGUGCACAAGAGGGCCACCGUCUCCAAAGGGGUCAGCCUGCGGCUCACGUUCAGCGCCCGGUCCCUGGCCACUCCCCUGCGUGAGCUGCUCGAAGCAUUGCUGCUGCGCACGGAGGUAAAAGCACAGGAAUGGCGCCAGGUGCCUGCCGUCCUGUACAGGUACCUCGACUUCCGCUCCAACACCAUCCGUGAUCUGAGGCAGUUCUUACACAAGUUCAGCUCUCUGUGCGCCAUCCUAGAACCUAAUAGUCGCUUAGAUCGGUACUGGAAUGACCGUGCUCCUCUUAGCAUGGACGCCCUCCAGGAGCCCAUGGUGGGGAGAUCAGAGCUGCUGGAUGAGAUGGUUAGCAUCUUGCUCGCCGAUAGAGCCGGCCACCGUCAGCUGUUGAUGAUGCCCAUCGUAGGGGGUCCUGGCGUUGGAAAGACCCGACUAGCCACGGCCAUUCUGGAAGAUGAUAGGGUCUGGCACGGGUUCCGUGUGCUGCUCGGGGUGUCUGUUGCACGGGAUUUCAGGCGUAAGGGGCCGCAAGGGAGUCCUGCAGAUGCUCUGCAGUAUUGUUCUCCAGAAGCCGUGGAGAUGGUCAUUCGCCACAAGCUUAUAAGUGGAGGGGAUUAUUUGAUUCUUCUAGACGAUGUGUGGAGUGACCAUGAAGGGGAGUGGAAGAAAAUAGGCGACAUGAUAGACGCUCUGCCUCCGAGAGGCCGCGUAGUCCUCACCACCCGGACUCCUGACAUCGCCUCCAAGCUUGCCAACUUUACAGAAAACACUAAUACUACCAAGACCUUCUACCUGCAGCCUCUGGGGCAGGAAUUCUCCCCCUCGUUCGUGGCUAGAUGGAUAGCCACACGCCACGGUGAUUGGCCUGCUGAGGUUGUUAGAGAAGCUGGCACCAAGAUCGCCGAUAAAUGCGGCGGCAUUCCCUUGCUGUUGGACCGUGCACGCAGAGUUUUUUCUCAACCGCCGAACAUGAUGUUAUGGCAAGGAUUACUGGAGAACGCUGGCAGCAAGAUUCAUCCUGGCAUGCUCUGGCGAGAGCUACCGGCGUACAUUGAUCGUCUUCCCUCCGACGAGUUCUGGCAGCGAUUUCUGUGGCAUGUCCAUGGAGAAGUAGUCUUCCAGAGUGCUGCUGCCAGCUUCCGUCAUCUCCCAGCUGACUUGCAGAGUUGCUUCUUGUAUUGCUCAAUGUUCCCUUUAGACUAUGACUUUGAUGUCGAAGAAUUGGCUGAUCUUUUGGCAGCCCAAGGCUACAUACCACCCAUAGUGGCUCAAUCCCUACGGAAAGGAUUUCUCCAGCAGCUCCUUGACGAGUGCUUUUACCCGCUGCAAGAACAUAAAUAUGGAGACAAGCCUACAUACAGGAUGCACAAGGUGUUGCACAUCUUUGCUCAGUACAAUGAUUGGGAAUUUAGUUCCAUUAUCAGAGUUGAUCAGGCAACUCAGAUUGCUUCUGAAGCUAAGGCUCAAAGUACUUUUCGUAUUCAACGUGCCUCAUUAAUUGUUCAUCCUUCAACAGCAUCAUUUCCAACAAGCUUGCAUGCAUACAAAUAUUUAGGUGCACUGAUAUUACUUCAAGGAGGACCAAUGUGCCUAUCCGAGCAGCCUCGAUGUGAGAUCACCGAGAUUCCCCAAGUGCUUUUCCAGUCAUGUAGGCUCAUACAUACCUUGAGUUUCAGAGCUACUAAAACCAGGGUGCUGCCUACUAAAUUUUUGGAGCCCGACCAAGUGAAAUAUCUCAACCUUUCGCAGACAGCUAUUGAGAACAUCCCGAGCUCCAUCUCCAGGUUGACGUCUCUUCUAACACUUGUACUAUCGCAUUGUCACAAGAUCCGAACACUGCAUCCAAACACAACCAAGCUCACACUGUUACAGAAGUUGGACCUUGAAGGCUGUUGCAAUCUUGUCAAACUGCCUCGAGACAUGGGUAAAAUGAAGAGCCUCGAAUAUCUUAAUGUUACUGACUGCUCAUCGCUCACUCAGCUGCCUCGUGGAAUGGGCCAACUGAAAAGCCUUCAAAUGCUAUUGGGGUACAUUGUUUCCUACACUGAUGGAAGUUCAAUGUCAGAGUUGCAACCAUUGGCAAACCUCCAUAGGCUCAGACUGCAAAGCCUUGAAAAGGUUUCGGACCUUACAGAUGUAAGAUAUGCAAGCCUGCAAAACAAAACAAAGCUCGAGUCAUUGUCAAUGAGGUGGAAUAUGGAUGAUGCAAAUAAGGCCACACUAGCGUAUACAGUACUUGAAUCUCUUCAGCCUCCCCAAUGUCUGAAAGCAUUGGAGAUCAUUUCAUAUGAAGGGAAAAAGCUUCCAUCUUGGAUGAAAGGACCUGAACCAUAUCUCAUGUCCCUAGUAGAGAUCAAGCUAAUAAAUCUGAGAUCAUGUAAAAGAGUAUUGGAUCCACUGGGGCUACUUCCAUGUCUGAAGAUAGCUGAGAUAAGUGGAGCUGAAACUGUCUGCAUUGACCAUGACAAUUCCUAUGGCCAUAAAGGCAUAUUUCCCUCACUGGAGAAACUAACUUUCUCGUAUAUGCAUAACCUUGAAGUCUGGGAACAGGCGCACCGGGCAGGUAUGUUUCCCCGUCUUGCAGAAUUGGCAAUCAUCCAAUGCCCAAAAUUGAGAGAAUUGCAUAUGGAGCUCCUGUCAGUUGAGAAGUUGAUACUUUGGAUGAACAACAAGAUGCUGUAUGACCUGAAAGGAGCCCUGCGAGGUGUGGCCAAGAGCCUGAAGCAUAUAUCAAUAUCUUUUAGCGAAGAGCUGCUAGCUUCUUCAGACUGCGAGGGUCUGCAGGAUCUUGGUAAUCUCACGAAGUUGGAGAUAUGUGGGUGCCACGAGCUGACAUGCCUCUCACAGGGUUUUCAGCAUCUUUCAUCCAUGAGAAGCUUGACGAUUGACAACUGCAGCAAACUGGAGACGUUACCGGAUUGGUUAGAAAACCUACCUUCUCUUCAGAGUAUGCGCUUAUCAGGCUGUCCUCUUCUGCGUUCCAUUCCUGGAGGCUUGCAACAACGUCCUGGUGUCAUCGUAUAUGUUGAAGACUGCCCCAAUCUACCAGAACAACCAUUUCCCAAUAUUCCAGCACAACCAUUAGAAAAACCUGUUGCGACUCGAGUCAACAAGGGCAAAGAAAUCGUCAUCGAAGAUGAUUAGGUUUCGAUGUUAUUUUAGUGCUGCACAUGAAGACUAAUUUCUGCAACCGUUGAAGGUGAAUUUUUGUUAAGUUGAAGCAGGUGAGCAGAAACAAGCACUAGUGAAGUUGGUAGCUUGCAAGAGGAUGAGAAAGGUAAGAAAGAAGAAACCAAUCAGCAGCACCGGGCCGGAGAGGGCAUAGCUUAUACCGAGAAGAUGGCCAAAUGGGAACCUCCUGAUGUAAGGCUGGGCGAAGAUAAACAUUGAUGACACUUUCUUUGAAGAUGGUCUUACGGGAUUAGCAGCGGCAGGGUGCUCCGAUAACGGCCUGGAAAGCGUUGUUUCUCAAUGCAAGCGCUGAGGAGGUGUAAUUGGAAAUGCUUGCAUGCCAGGAGGGCAUUGCGCUUGCGACAGAGUGGAUUCGCUGGCCAGCGAUCCUGGGAACUGAUUGCAUUGCAGCUCGAUAGCCCAGCUCCUAUGAAAACCGGUCCUCCAUAGAUCGCAGCAGCACUUCCUCCUCAAGGACUGCAUUUUAUCGGCAAAUCAGUUGGUCAUGAGCUCGCUCAUUUGGGGAGAUGUACUUGCUAUAGUGCGGUGUGGCAGGAACAUUCCCCUCGUUUUAGAGCAAAUAGUUGUUCAUAGAUUGUACUUCUCCUAUUGAGUAAUUAGCAAGGUUCUCUCUUCCUAGAAAAAAAAAAGUGGUGGUUUAUGACAUUUUCUAUAUCUGAUCGCUAUACACAGCGAAUCAUAACUUCAUCUAUAAAAGAAUUGCACCUC